rnacentral:rRNA from 12 species
CGGGAGGCAGCAGUGAGGAAUAUUGGUCAAUGGACGCAAGUCUGAACCAGCCAUGCCGCGUGCAGGAAGAAGGCCUUCUGGGUUGUAAACUGCUUUUGACAGGGAAGAAAACGGCUAUGCGUAGCUAACUGACGGUACCUGUAGAAUAAGCACCGGCUAACUCCGUGCCAGCAGCCUCGGUAAGACGGAGGAUGCAAGUGUUAUCCGGAAUCACUGGGCGUAAA